GGUGAGCUUGCCUGGGGAAUGCGUGGGUGUUUGGAACCCUUGCCUUCCUGCCUAAAGAGUUUCCUGCAAUCAGUUAAGAAAAGCCCCACCACUCCCCCUCCGUCAAUUAACUAGAUAAAUACAUAAAGUCAAGAGGAAACAGUAUUUGUGAUGGUAAAAGGAAUUUUGAUUCACAGUUGGAAUCAAACCUCGUUGACACUGAUCAUGACCUCACCUCUAGCCUGUGUGGUGUUGGGGAGCCAGGGUUAAAGGAAUGUGGAGGCAGCAGGACAUCCUGGAGAGAAUGAAGACUUCAGAGUCAGACAGAGCUAGAUUUGAAGCCAGCUGGCGAACCUCUGUUUUCUCUUCUGUAAAAUGGGUAACUAUAGCACCUACCUGACAGGUUAGCAUCUACAUGAUGGAUAGGUUUCUGUGCAUGGUACAUGGCUGGAGUCCAACAAGAAUUUAUUUCAAGUCUGUCUUUUUCCACUGGAGAUCAUCACUGAGUUGCGGUCUCCUGAGCAGAAAGGGGGUUGGCAGCCGGAGCAUGUGUCUCUCUUGGAACACCCUAGGCUCUGGCAGCACACAGGUUAUGCAAGGCACAACCGGAGGAGGAAGUAACAGGAUCCUAGCAGUGACUGUUGUUGGAGAGGGUCAGACCAAGCUAAAGCUUGGAAGGAGAUGCAGCCUGGUUCCAUCUGGAUCUGAAUCAAGGGUCAGAGGGAAGUGUCAAGGCUUGGAAGUCACUAGAGCAUAAGCGCAUGAGGCUGAGAGCAUGUCUGUUUUGUUUGCUGUGGAUUCUCCCAUGCCUAGCGCAGCAUCUGGCAUCAUAGGCAGUGUUUAAAUAUUUAUUGAACAAAUGAAGAAUAAAUGAAUUAGUGACAGCCUUAUCAGUUCAGAGCCUGGUUGUUUCGGGAGUUCCAUUUGAAAACAAGGCAAAGGAGAACAGCUGCUGGCAGGAAACAAAUGUGGGAACCACCAAAGGUUCUGAAGAUACACCAUGUUUAAACGGCUAGAACCUCAACUCUGGAGCCACGUGGCCAGGACUCAAAGCUCUGUCACUUACAAGACAUGGAACCUGGAUCAUGUCACUAAAUCUUUCUGUGCCUUCAUUAUGUUUUUUAUUUUUUAAUUUUUUGCCUAUAACAUGGGGAUAAUAGAACCUACCUCACAGGAUUGUUGAAAGGACCAAAGGAGAUUAUUUGUGUGAAGUGUACACUGUAAGUGCUCAAUAAACACAACUGUUAGUAUUAAUUGAGAGGGAUGUGAAAUUAGCUGUGUUUCCAGAAGUUUUGGCAGGGAAUACACACAGAAUGGAUAGCUUAAAGAGAAACUUCUUAAUAUAGUGAUAGAUUUUAGAGCAUAGAAAGAAAAAAAUAUGGGGAAAAAAACCCUGCAACUAGUUAAGAGUCAUUGCAAUAUCUGGGCAUGAGAGGAUGAGGCCUAGAUUAGGGGACUAGUUGGGGGUCCACAGAGGGAGAGGACCAGUGCAAAACAGAUGGUUCAUGAAGGAGCAAUUGGUAGAACUGAUUGGAUGUGUUGGGGGGAGCAGAAAAUGUAGAACUCCUUUGUGGGUCUGGAAGGAGAUGGUAGCUCUCGAAGAGAUGAGGGAUGUCUAAGAAGGAGCAGGGCUGGUGAAGGAUAAAAAUCCAGUUUGGAAUGUGCUAAGGGGGACAAGGGGUAGCCCGCUUGAAAGAUGCUGUGAAGCUGGACAUGCCCACGCGGAUGGGUGAGAUCUUGGGGUUGGAGGGAGGGCAAGCAGGGGUGGAAGCCAGGGGACAUGUAGGAAGAGACGUGUGGAGGGCACUUCCAGAGAACACCCAUGUUCGGGGGUGGGGAGAGGAAAGACCUCCACCUAG
rnacentral:lncRNA from 1 species